rnacentral:rRNA from 1 species
UACAGAGGUCUCAAGCGUUGUUCGGAUUCAUUGGGCGUAAAGGGUGUGUAGGUGGCGCCGUAAGUCCGGGUGUGAAAUUUCGGAGCUUAACUCCGAAACUGCAUUCGAUACUGCGGUGCUUGAGGACUGGAGAGGAGACUGGAAUUCACGGUGUAGCGGUGAAAUGCGUAGAUAUCGUAAGGAAGACCAGUGGCGAAGGCGGGUCUCUGGACAGUUCCUGACGCUGAGGCACGAAGGCCAGGGGGAGCAAAACGGG